UAUUGGACAAUGGCCGGGAGGCUGAUCCAGCCAUGCCGCGUGCAGGAAGACCGCCCUAUGGGUCGUAAACUGCUUUUGUACGGGAAGAACAAGGGGCACUUGUGCCCCCCUGACGGUACCGUAAGAAUAAGGAUCGGCUAACUCCGUGCCAGCAGCCGCGGUAAUACGGAGGAUCCGAGCGUUAUCCGGAAUCAUUGGGUUUAAAGGGUCCGUAGGCGGGCCGUUAAGUCAGGGGUGAAAGUCUGCGGCUCAACCGUAGGACCGCCCUUGAUACUGGCGGCCUGGAGUCGUGGUGAAGUGGCCGGAAUAUGUGGUGUAGCGGUGAAAUGCAUAGAUAUCACAUGGAAUACCGAUUGCGAAGGCAGGCCACUAACCAUGUACUGACGCUGAUGGACGAGAGCGUGGGUAGCGAACAGG
rnacentral:rRNA from 1 species